rnacentral:rRNA from 1 species
AACUUGAGAGUUUGAUCCUGGCUCAGAACGAACGCUGGCGGCAUGCCUAACACAUGCAAGUCGAACGAGACCUUCGGGUCUAGUGGCGCACGGGUGCGUAACGCGUGGGAAUCUGCCCUUAGGUACGGAAUAACAGU